rnacentral:rRNA from 1 species
GAUGAACGCUGGCGGCGUGCCCAGUACAUGCAAGUCGAGCGAAUGGAUUAAGAGCUUGCUCUUAUGAAGUUAGCGGCGGACGGGUGAGUAACACGUGGGUAACCUGCCCAUAAGACUGGGAUAACUCCGGGAAACCGGGGCUAAUACCGGAUAACAUUUUGAACCGCAUGGUUCGAAAUUGAACGGCGGCUUCGGCUGUCACUUAUGGAUGGACCCGGGUCGCAUUAGCUAGUUGGUGAGGUAACGGCUCACCAAGGCAACGAUGCGUAGCCGACCUGAGAGGGUGAUCGGCCACACUGGGACUGAGACACGGCCCAGACUCCUACGGGAGGCAGCAGUAGGGAAUCUUCCGCAAUGGACGAAAGUCUGACGGAGCAACGCCGCGUGAGUGAUGAAGGCUUUCGGGUCGUAAAACUCUGUUGUUAGGGAAGAACAAGUGCUAGUUGAAUAAGCUGGCACCUUGACGGUACCUAACCAGAAAGCCACGGCUAACUACGUGCCAGCCGCCGCUGUAA